rnacentral:lncRNA from 1 species
ACUAGAUUUGAUGAGGAGUACACACGCAAAAAAAAUUGAAGACCCUCCUCCCCUGAGCUAGAGAUGCGCAAAAAACGUGAUUGUUUCCCAUCUUCUAUCCAAGCACAUAACAGCCGCAACAGUGAAAUUAAAACGACACCCCCCACCCCCCAAAUUUGAUACCUUUGAAUGCCUCCCGAAACGCCAACGGGAGGACUUCAGCAAAAACACACAAACCCUCCCCAUCGCCGGAAGAAGCAGCCAUGAAAUCCAGCUAUUUUUGAUUUGAAAUGACAACACCCCAUCGUUCAUCUUCUUCUUCUCCAACCUCUUAAUCACCGGUAAAAUCCAUCAAUCAAGAGCUCCUUUAGUAUAUUUUCCGAUGACUAUCCAGUUUUUCGAUUGAGUUUCAUUGACCGUUUCCAUUAGUUCCUACGAAGUCCACUCGAGGUCGUCGUUGGUCUUGGGUUGGGCGCAAUUGAAUUUUUCGAUAUAACUGAGAUCGUUUGAGGUCCGGUCGUUGAUUUCGUCCCAGUUCGAGUGUUGUUUCGAAUUUCAGUUGUAGUGCCCCACUCUGUCCAUCCUAGUUGCUGAAUUUUUGUCGAUUGAAAGCUUUUGAGUUAGAUUUCGGGGCUUGAUUCGAGGUCACUGUCCGAGGUUCAAUCCGGGUAGAUUCGCGCUACUGCUUCGAUUCUAUUGCUGCAGUUUUCAGCUUUCCUUGCAAGUGCAAUCGUUGGAAUUCAUAUUAAAUUGUAUCAUUGAUAUUCAAAUACACCGGAAAGCAAUUCAGGUUCAUCUAUUUCCCAUUUUGAGCAUGUUGUUUGAAUGUUGUGGUGAUGAGCAUGAUGUUAGUUAAGUUAUGUGUGCAUUUUUGUUUAUCUCUAUUUUAGCCAUGAAGAUUGAAAUGAUUCACUCUGUUAAUUGUUAUGGCUCAUUAUAUUUGAUUAAGCUUGUUAAUGUCAUGUUUGCUUGAUCUGAGAAACCGUCGAAAUUCUAGCUCGUCCAUGGCUGUAAAUGGAUUAUUUUUUCCUUUGAUUUUCCUUCGUCAGAUUUGUGACGAAGUCUUUGCCUUCAUUAGAUUUUGAUGCAAAAUUCCAUUUUCCUUUUCAUCAGAUUCAUAACAAAGUUUCUAAUGGCAUUCUCAGAUUUGUGACUACAAUUUCCUUUGCUAUAACAGAUUUAUAACAAUGUUGUUUCGUUUACUAAUUCUUCAGAUUUGUGACAAAGUAUUUGUAAUAAUUUUGUGAGAUUUUUGACAAUAUUGUAUCAAUGUUUUGAAUGUGUUCAUUUAGUUAUCUGAAUGUAUGUUUACUCGAAUUGGUUAUAGCUGAAUAUGAUUUUGUCUCAGUAUAGAACUUGGAUUGCUGAAAUACGUAAUUAAAUUAAAGGAACCGGAUGUGCAUUUCAUGUAACCCGACUCCAAUUUCGAAUAAGGUUAAAUAAAGCGUGCCGUGAACCACGAGUGUAUUUCAUGUGACGUGGCCUGCGAUAUGUUUUAAAUAACCUUGAAUUAACUCUUUAAAUAAAUAAAAGCGGUUUGAAAUUUUACGGCCCUUCAUCUGUAGUUCUCUUUUAAAUUAGAAUUAGAGGUGUUCCAUGCCAAACAAAAAUGACAAUCGCAUGGCCCUCAUUUGAUUAAUCUUGUUUUGGCCUUAGAAUUCGAGAUGUGCCAUUUAGUAAAUUCCAUGGCCCUCACAAAUUGCAAACACGUAGUUGCUUUAGGCGCGUAUUUUAAUAAUUUACCUUCUUAAACUCGGGUGUGCAUUUCAUGUGACCCAAAUCAAAUCCCAAAACGUUGAACAAAAUGUAUUCAGGAUUGCGGGCGCAUUUUAUGUGAUGCGAUCCAAAGACAUAUUUUAAACGGCGUUCAAAUUUCUUUAAUAAUUGAAUAAAGGCGGUUAAAAGCUAAAUUUGCACAUAGGUUAAAAAUGUAUUGAAAUUAGACAAAUAAGCCGAAUAUAACAGUUGAGCGACCGUGCUAGAAUAACGGAACUUGGGAAUGCCUAACAUCUUCUCCCGAGCUAACAAAAUUUCUUAUUCGGAUUUUUGGUUCGCAGACUGUUUAACAGAGUCAUAUUUUCAUCGAUUUCGGGUCAAACCGGUGACUUGAGACACCAUAAAUCUCCCAAGUGGUGAAUCUGAAUCUUUAUAAUAAAUCCCAUUUUGAUUGUCCUUUAAUUGGAAAAACUCCUUUACGCCCUUCCGAGGAUAGAAAAAAAAGGAGGUGUGACAGCUCUGAAGACUCUGCUGGGGACAAGUACCCAAUACUUUGGUUCAGGGUUCAGAAUUCGAGCCCAGUCAAAUUUUUGUAUUUGGCUUUAUCUGAUUUUGUUACAUGUUUGUGCCUAAUGUGCUAAUUAUUGCUUUUACCGCUUUAAUAUUCUGUGAAUUGUAUAUAAAUUGUUACAAAACCCAUCUUCUCUCUGGGUUUUCUAAAUCAUAAAGAAGGGCGCACUUCGUGUAACUUCUUUUAUGUCUAGAGUCCAAUCCCAUUUUAGAACGAGGUUCGAAUAAGUUGCUAAGCCGGUGAAGCUUCUGUAUUUCCGGUACGCUGCCCCCUGGCUCAAGCUAUCCUCUCGGCUAAGCCAAGUCUAGAACAAAUAAACCCAGAUUUUUAAACUUAUAAUAACCAAGCCUCAUGACAGAUCCCUAGUAGUAGCGCUUGCUUACAUCAUGUGCAUUUUGACUUUGCCGACUCAACACAGGGGUUGAGUCCGUCUAGGACAGGUGCACCCAAAAUAACAGACCAUCUUGAUGCAUCCUAUGUGCUACAUGUUGGAUUUAUUCGAGGAUAAAAGGUCAUUUGGUUGACCAAUGAUAGUUCAGAGCAAAGGAAAAAUGAAAAAAAGAAGAAAAAAGGGAAAAAGGGAUGUUAAAAAAGAAAAAGAGGGUGAAGUGUGAAAAUAAAGCAAGUAUGGCCUAGUUAUGUCUUUUUUACUUUUUUAUUAAGAAAAAAAGCAUGAAAAAUUCAAAACAAUUUUGCACUUUUUUUUAUCAUCUUUCGAAAAUCAAAAAUAAAAAAGGAAAAAAAAUUCAAAAUCUUUUUGCAUGUUUCAUCAUUUUUCAAGAAAAAGUAAAAAAAAGUAUGUUUUCUCUAAAUUAGCUAUUUUUUUAUUCUCGCCGGUAUCUAAUCUGCCCGAACUACGCAUACCUUAUUCUCGUCUUUCGGGACGUGAUACGUAGGCACCUACAAAGGGACUGGUCUUUUUAGUAAAUCUUACGUUCUUGACUUUACGGGAUCUUAGCCAAAUUUUACACUUCUAGACCAUUUUGCAAAAAUAGCUUCUAUCAUGUCUUGCAUGUGUCUAGUGGGGAAUGUUGUUGUCUCACAUAGUAUUGGUUUAAGUUUUCUCACACGGGUUUGGAUUUACUUGCCGGAGUUUGGGCAUGACAAAGCCUCAUGACCAUUUAGUCAGGAUCGUUCAUUCAGGAUUGGAUCAAAAGAAGAUUUUCUAUUUUUUUAGGUUUGGAGUUUGUUUUCAUUUUAAGUUGUCUUUUUACCUUCUAGUUCGUAUAUUAGUGUUGAGUCUUUUGUUAUUGUACUUUCUAUUUUGUAUUUGAAAAAGUGUAUUAUAACUCAAAAAUUCAAAAAAAAAAAAAUUUUUGCAUUUAUAUUUCCGUUAGAAGUUUCUUUAGAAAUACCACAUCUAAAAAUUAAAAAAAAAGAGGAAAGAAAUUUUGAGGUGGUUUUCCUUUAGGAAAUUAGUAUUUAGAACUCCAUUUUUCAAUUUCAGAGUGUUAGGCUUUCGACUGAAAAGUCGAUAUUUUGACGCCACCUCGAAAAGGGUUCUUUGCAGGUUCUUUAUACAUGGUGUAUUUCUGAAGGGGAGUAUUGUGAGUUGUCACAUGAUGGAAAGACCCUCCAAAUAAUGUAUGCACAUACUACUAGAAAGGACUAUGUGCUAUGGCAGCAGGUGUAGAUACUAACAUGUUAAAGUUUCUCAAUAGCAUUCAUCUCCAU